rnacentral:rRNA from 2 species
UACGAAGGGGGCUAGCGUUGCUCGGAAUCACUGGGCGUAAAGCGCACGUAGGCGGCUUUCUAAGUCAGGGGUGAAAUCCUGGAGCUCAACUCCAGAACUGCCUUUGAUACUGGGAAGCUUGAGUUCGGGAGAGGUGAGUGGAACUGCGAGUGUAGAGGUGAAAUUCGUAGAUAUUCGCAAGAACACCAGUGGCGAAGGCGGCUCACUGGCCCGAUACUGACGCUGAGGUGCGAAAGCGUGGGGAGCAAACAGG